CAUCUUGGUGAGACUACACAGCACAGACUGGAUACAGCACCAGUGCAGCUAUGGCCUCGUUCUUUUCCUUUAGUUUCAUUUUUUGUUGCUGUUCAGGAAUAUUGUGGAAGGAAAGUUGUGGAGGUUCAGAAGUCCAAGAUUAAGGGACUUUUAGGUUCUGCUGUUCGCCGAGGGCUACUUGACCUCCACGGUGGUGCCUGCCAUGUGUCCUCCAGAGGUGGGCAGUGCCGUGUCCUCACAAGGCCAAGGCGGGAGGAACCACAAACCAGCUGAAUGGUCUGAGAAACAUCUUUUAUGAGACCAUAAUCUCAUGAAAAGGCUCUCUCUAUGAAACAGGAAGACUCUCAU